GAUGAAGAACGCAGCGAAAUGCGAUAAGUAAUGUGAAUUGUAGAAUUCAGUGAAUCAUCGAAUCUUUGAACGCACAUUGCGCCCGCCAGUAUUCUGGCGGGCAUGCCUGUUCGAGCGUCAUUUCAACCAUCAAGCCCCCGGCUUGUGUUGGGGACCUGCGGCUGCCGCAGGCCCUGAAAAGCAGUGGCGGGCUCGCUGUCACACCGAGCGUAGUAGCAUACAUCUCGCUCUGGGCGUGCUGCGGGUUCCGGCCGUUAAACCACCUUCAUAACCCAAGGUUGACCUCGGAUCAGGUAGGAAGACCCGCUGAACUUAAGCAUAUCAAUAAGCGGAGGA
rnacentral:misc_RNA from 1 species